rnacentral:rRNA from 1 species
AGUGAACGCUGGCGGUAGGCCUAACACAUGCAAGUCGAACGGCAGCACCGUAAGAGCUUGCUCUUACGGGUGGCGAGUGUCGGACGGGUGAGGAAUACAUCGGAAUCUACUUUUUCGUGGGGGAUAACGUAGGGAAACUUACGCUAAUACCGCAUACGACCUCCGGGUGAAAGCAGGGGAUCUUCGGACCUUGCGCGAUUGAAUGAGCCGAUGUCGGAUUAGCUAGUUGGCGGGGUAAGGGCCAACAAGGCGACGAUCCGUAGCUGGUCUGAGAGGAAUGUCAGCCACACUGUAACUGAGAAACGGUCCAGACUCCUACGGGAGGCAGCAGUGGGGAAUAUUGGACAAUGGGCGCAAGCCGGAUCCAGCCAAACCGCGUGGGUGAAGAAGGCGUUCGGGUUGGAAAGCCCUUUUGUUGGGAAAGAAAAGCAGCAGGUUAAUACCCCGCUGUGCUGACGGUACCCAAAGAAUAAGCACCGGCUAACUUCGUG